rnacentral:rRNA from 1 species
UACGUAGGGGGCAAGCGUUGUCCGGAUUUAUUGGGCGUAAAGAGCGUGUAGGCGGCCAAGCAGGUCCGCUGUGAAAACUCGAGGCUCAACCUCGAGACGUCGGUGGAAACCGUUUGGCUAGAGUCCGGAAGAGGAGAGUGGAAUUCCUGGUGUAGCGGUGAAAUGCGCAGAUAUCAGGAAGAACACCCGUGGCGAAGGCGGCUCUCUGGGACGGUACUGACGCUGAGACGCGAAAAGCGUGGGGAGCGAACAGG